CCGAUGGUGACCCGUGAAGACAUCGUUCCCCAUCAGGUUGGAGAGCGGGCCGUUCUGGCCACCUGUCUGCCUGGGAGGCUUCAUCCCAAAUGGGCACAACAGAGGUUUCCCUGGCUCUCAAAUUGCCCCUUCGUGCCUGAAAUACAACGACUCAUAAAAUUGAGAAAAAAUCGUGGGAUCUGAGCAGAACUGGUGGGAAGGAGGUGGGCGCUCCGACUUCUGCAAGCUGAGGUCAAAGUUGAGGGCGUGCUUGGGAUGGAUGUCCUCAGGGUCAGAAACCGGGGUGAGCCCCAGGGUAGCCCAGAAGGUACUCUGCUGAGGGGCGUCGGCAUGAACUUCGCAUUAUGCACAUUGCUGCCCCUGUCAUUAGUGGGGUGUUAGAAACAUGACUUAGGGGCCGUGCAGACGCAUUUGCGACACCCUCAAGGGGGCACAGGCUGUGGAGAGCACCUUGGGCACAGAACCCCCUCCCCGGGUGGGUCAUGGGGAACCGCCUUCAGCAUCCCCCCCCCCCCCCCGCUUCCUCUGGGUCUGUGACUCCUUUAUUCUGCUGUCGGGGAAAGAACCCACGUGGUCACUUUGCCAAACACUCAGACGCUUGUUGGUCACCGAGGGUUCGAUUUCCUUACAUGCGGGCUAGACCACAACUCGAGUAAACAUCAGGAAAGAAGGUGGGGGCCUUAAAAAUAUUAAUUCUCAUGGAGUUAUUUCAAGUACCAGACUUCCAGUUUCCACCCCCUUCUUUUGAAGCGAAACAGCAGUGGGGUUCUGUGUUGUGUUGUAAACAGGCGAGCAAGUGUCCCUCUUGAACCUGGACGCCGGUCGGGAGCGGCUUCUGCGGGCCCACGUUUACUCUUGUGAUGGGUGCCGGGCAGGCAGCUGCACUGAGAAUUUCUGCUCCGGCCCCUCCGUGACCUCAACCUGCCCGGCCAGCCGGCCACCUCAGCUGGGGGGAGGGGGGGUUGCUCUUACAGGGAUCCCCUUGGCAAGAAGCAGCAGCCUCAGCACGAGAGGUUUCCACACUCGGGGGGUGGGUGUGUGCGUGCAAAUAUUUUUUUUUUCAACAGGGGGCUGCUUGGCAGACCGGACCACGAAAAUAGCCCUGUUAGCAAGCACUGUGCCUGCAGAUAGAACUUCCUAUUCAAAUCAGGGCAAGAGGCAGAGGGAUCAUGAGGCGAAAUGAGCCGUGUGUGUGUGUGUGUGUGUGUGUGUGUGUGUGUGUGUGUGUUUCCUGAAUAAAUGAAUCAGACAUGCGGCGGGGCUGGCCCUCCUCUGUCCCGGGUCUCUGGAUCAUUUCAGAGGGUUAAUGCAGCAGAGGCGGAGGGGAGGCCGGAGAGGGUUCCCAGCUGAUCUGCCGGGCGCUGCGUGCAUUAACCCCCUCCUGCCCGAGCCUCCAGCCGUGGCCGGGCGCUGGUGGGCACCAGGAAGGGGUGGGAUUCCCUCACGAGACGCAUAAUUGUAUACAUUCUGCUCCGCGGUGGCCGCCAAGCUGUAUCACUGCCCGUGUGACACGGCCAUCUUCUCCCGGGAGCCGCUGGAGACCUCAGGGUACGGAGCCAGCUCUCUGGGAUGAUCGCAGAUGAAUUCUCCGCGGAGGGAGGCGGAUGACCCGUGGAGAUCCGUCACGCGUGGCUCUUUGAAGUUUUCUCCUGCUUUCUCGCACGGCGCCGGGAAGCCAAGCUUUGCCACGUCCUCUUGCGCACACACGCGAUGUUCUGCGGUGGUUGUCGGAUGCUCGCGACGUGGAAAGAGAUGGAAUUUUCCCGACAGAGUCCCACUGGAGAUUCCCUAGGAAUUUGCACUUCUUACCUGUCUGUCCGUUUAUCUGACUGGAUAUAAACUAAAAAGCCCACUCCUUGAAGCUCCUUUCUUGCUGUGCCUUCCAUCUGGCACAUUAGCCCCGAACUAUCAGUUGCCACAAUUACAGAGUGAAAUAACACAGUAUACAAAGCAGGUGGAGGCAGACCGCAAGAAGCCCUACAAGAAAGAGCCCAAAAUAUUUUUUCCCCCAGCGAGCCCUGACAUUUAGGGGAAAACAAAAUAUCUACAAAAGAGGGAAAUUAAAUGAACGGUGUCCAACAGGAAUGGUGCUGUGACAUAGUUUCACCUAAUAAAGAAUCUGGAGCAAAGAUAUUUCAGAGCCCCUCCUUCCUAUAAACAUUCUUCUCUCCUGGCUUUCGUUCUGUUCCAGUUGGAAAUUUUUCCAGAAGAAAAGCCUGGUGAAUUAUUUAAUAAAUAAAAUCCUUUAAGGCAACCACGUUCAAAGAUAUCGCCUCAAAUUCCCUUCAAAUACACAUAGCAAGAAGUGUGCCACCGGCAGC